UACAGAGGUCUCAAGCGUUGUUCGGAUUCAUUGGGCGUAAAGGGUGCGUAGGCGGCGGAGCAAGUCUGAUGUGAAAUCCCGGGGCUCAACCCCGGAACUGCACUGGAUACUGCUCUGCUAGAGAUCUGGAGAGGAAACUGGAAUUUACGGUGUAGCAGUGAAAUGCGUAGAUAUCGUAAGGAAGGCCAGUGGCGAAGGCGAGUUUCUGGACAGAUUCUGACGCUGAGGCACGAAGGCCAGGGGAGCAAACGGG
rnacentral:rRNA from 1 species